rnacentral:rRNA from 1 species
GCUAAAACAGUCAGGAGGUUGGCUUAGAAGCAGCCAUCCUUUAAAGAAAGCGUAAUAGCUCACUGAUCGAGUCGUCCUGCGCGGAAGAUGUAACGGGGCUAAGCCAUAUACCGAAGCUGCGGAUGCAUAUUUAUAUGCAUGGUAGGAGAGCGUUCCGUAAGCCUGCGAAGGUGCACUGGAAAGUGUGCUGGAGGUAUCGGAAGUGCGAAUGCUGACAUGAGUAGCGAUAAAGGGGGUGAAAGGCCCCCUCGCCGUAAGCCCA